AUGCUCAAAAUUCUCCAAGCCAGGCUUCAGCAAUACGUGAACUGUGAACUCCCUGAUGUUCAAGCUGGUUUUAGAAAAGGCAGAGAAACCAGAGAUCAAAUUGCCAACAUCCGCUGGAUCAUGGAAAAAGCAAGAGAGUUCCAGAAAAACAUCUAUUUCUGCUUUAUUGACUAUGCCAAAGCCUUUGACUGUGUGGAUCAGAGUAAACUGUGGAAAAUUCUGAAAGAGAUGGGAAUACCAGACCAUGUAACCUGCCUCUUGAGAAAUCUGUAUACAGGUCAGGAAGCAACAGUUAGAACUGGACAUGGAACAACAGACUGGUUCCAUAUAGGAAAAGGAGUACGUCAAGGCUGUAUAUUGUCACCCUGCUUAUUUAACUUCUAUGCAGAGUACAUCAUGAGAAACGCUGGACUGGAAGAAACACAAGCUGGAAUCAAGAUUGCUGGGAGAAAUAUCAAUAACCUCAGAUAUGCAGAUGACACCACUCUUAUGGCAGAAAGUGAAGAGGAGCUAAAAAGUCUCUUGAUGAAAGUGAAAAAGGAGAGUGAAAAAGUUCGCUUAAAGCUCAACAUUCAGAAUACUAAGAUCAUGACAUCUGGUCCCAUCACUGCAUGGGAAAUAGAUGGGGAAACAAUAGAAACAUUGCCAGACUUUAUUUUUUUGGGCUCCAAAAUCACUGCAGAUGGUGACUGCAGCCAUGAAAUUAAAAGACGCUUACUCCUUGGAAGAAAAGUUAUGACCAACCUAGAUAGUAUAUUCAAAAGCAGAGACAUUACUUUGCCGACUAAGGUCCAUCUGGUCAAGUCUAUGGUUUUUCCUGUGGUCAUGUAUGGAUGUGAGUGUUGGACUGUGAAGGCUGAGCACCGAAGAAUUGAUGCUUUUGAACUGUGGUGUUGGAGAAGACUCUUGAGAGUCCCUUGGACUGCAAGGAGAUCCAACCAGUCCAUUCUGAAGGAGAUCAGCCCUGGGAUUUCUUUGGAAGGAAUGAUGCUAAAGCUGAAGCUCCAGUACUUCGGCCACCUCAUGCGAAGAGUUGACUGA
rnacentral:lncRNA from 1 species